rnacentral:rRNA from 1 species
AGAGUUUGAUCCUGGCUCAGGAUUAAUGCUGGUGGUAUGCAUAACACAUGCAAGUCGAACGAGUAGAACUUGUUCUGCUAGUGGCAAACGGGCGAGUAAUACAUAUUUAACUUACUUCCUCGAGUAGGAUAGCAGCCCGAAAGGGCUAUUAAUACUACAUAGGUUUAUGGACUUGUAAAUUAAAGGAUGCGCCCUCGGGAACCUCGCGCGGAAAAGGGAAUAUGUCCUAUUAGGUAGUUGGCGGGGUAAAGGCCCACCAAGCCAACGAUGGAUAGCUGGACUUAGAGGUUGAACAGCCGCAAUGGGAUUGAGAUAUGGUCCAUAUUCCUACGGGAAGCAACAGUGAGGAAUUUUUCACAAUGGACGAAAGUCUGAUGGAGCAAUACCACGUGAACGAUGAAGGUCUUCUGAUUGUAAAGUUCUUUUAUUUAGGAAAAAAGCGCGCCCUUAUGGUACUCAUUGAAUAAGUGACAGCUAACUAUGUGCCAGUAGUUGCGGUAAAACAUAGGUCACAAGCAUUAUCCGGAUUUAUUGGGCGUAAAGGAAGCGUAGUCGGGGAGGCUGAUCCAUUGUUAAAGGCAUUGCUCAACAAAUGUGUGCGAUGGAGAUCUCCUCCUUAGAGUUAAUCAAGGGGUACUGGAAUUCAAUGUGUAGCGGUGGAAUGCGUAGAUAUAUUGAGGAAAACCAGAGGCUAAGGCGAGUACCUGGGAUAUAACUGACGCUGAGGCUUGAAAGCGUGGGGAGUAAAUGGGAUUAGAUACCCCAGUAGUCCACGCCGUAAACGAUGAGCAUUAGGUAUUUGAUGUUAGGUCGAGUGCUGUAGCUAACGCGUUAAAUGCUCCGCCUGGGUAGUAUAUAUGCAAAUAUGAAACUCAAAGAAAUUGACGGGGACCUGAACAAGUGGUGGAGCAUGUUGCUUAAUUCGAUAAUACACGAAAAACCUUACCAAGGCUUGUUAUCUACUGCAAAACUAUAGAAAUAUGGUGGAGUAUAUCAGUAAGACAGGUGGUGCAUGGCUGUCGUCAGCUCGUGUCUUGAGAUGUUUGGUUAAGUCCCGUAACGAGCGCAACCCUACUCUCUAGUUAAUUAGUUCUAGAGUGACUGAAUCGUAAGAUAUAGGAAGGAUGGGGCCAAGUCAAGUCAUCAUGCCCCUUAUGCCUUGGGUUGCAAACGUGCUACAAUGGUAGGUACAAUGUGUUGCAAUCUAGCGAUAGUGAGCUAAUCACCGAAAACCUAUCUCAGUCCGGAUAAAAGGUUGCAAUUCGCCUAUUUGAAGUUGGAAUUACUAGUAAUCCUGUGUCAGCUAUGUCAGGGUGAAUACGUUCCCAGGUCUUGUACACACCGCCCGUCAAACUAUGAAAGAAAGUAUCAGUCAAAACCGCAUUCAAUUGUGUCUAGAUUGGUAAUUUUGAUUGGAGUUAAGUCGUAACAAGGUAACC